rnacentral:lncRNA from 10 species
AAAAUUGUUACUAUCUAUAUGCCAUUAUAAAAUAUUAUAUUUUUCUACAGAAAAAGUCAAAUCAGCUGGCUCUUUUCUUGCCAUGUAGACACAGACCUCCUGGGGAAUCAUCAAAGCGGGAAUAGAUUUAGACUGUGACUCUGAAUUUUGGAAAUUGUUUGUUUUAGACUGGACAUGAAGAGGUUACAAAAACAAAAUAAAAUGGGGAAAAAAAGUCUUCUGCCCAUAUUAUCUCUUUGAAACAUUUGAAGAACAGAUUCAGAAUUUAUAUAAAGGAGGAAGAAAACAACACCACCACCAAAGGCUGCAGAAGUGAUGUGAGCUGCCCUGGCAGACGGACAAGAAAGAAAGUGAAUACUAUUUCAGGAGUCAUCAGUAAGUUGCAUCCAUUAAACAAAGAAAAGUCAUUCAACCAGCCAUCUGGAGACAACAUGGGCAAAGGUUAACACUGAGGAGAAACUGCUGGAAGUAGAAUCCAAAUUAAGUAAGAGAAGAAACAGAGACCAGAUCCAGGUCCCCACUUGAAUCACUAUAAUUAUUGAAAAUAGCAGCUGAUACGUACCAAUAUAAAACUGAAGACUUGCUAUGACCCAGGAACUCUGGGAAGCAUGUUAUGUAAUUGCAUCUGCCUUCCUUGCUGGACUCUAAGCUCCUUGAGGACAAAGAUGUAUCCAUUGUGCCACUUCUACAUUCUCCAAGCCUAGCAGAGAACCAAGAACUAAGGGCUCAAAAACAUGUGUUGAAUUAAUUAAGAAUAUCACAGCAAAUCCUCUGAAAAACUCAGAGAUAAGUGACAUCAUCAUCCUUAUUUUAUAGAUGACAAACCUGAAAUUUGGGUCAAGAACACAGAGCCUGUGGGUGACAAACAGCAAUCCAAACCAACAAUCAGAUUCCCAAACUUGAAAACUCAUCUACUCUGCCUCACUGAUCAGUUUGUUUGCCCAGUUUCACCAUAAAAGAUGCUUUUUUAAUGCCAUAUGUAGGCAAAUUACAAAUAAACAAAACCAA